AUUUUUUGUUUUAAUAAUAAUUUUGGUUUGGUUAAUAAGAAAGUGUAGGGAUAAGUUUUGGAUUUUUAUUUAGUAUGUUUGGGAUUCAAGCAUCUUUAUAUAGUUGUUUGGGAUAGAGUUUAACAAGGAUGGUGAAGGCUCAGCGUGCUAGGAUAAUGCCUUUUAGAAGAGGUGAUGGAUUCCAAAACCUUAUGGUAGGAAACAUGUAAAUGUUCAAUUUCAAUGAAUAAAAACUCAAGUCAUAAAUUUUUCAUGGUUGUUUGUAGUUGUUCCUCUAAAUGAUUAUUUGAUUUGAAGUUUUCUUUCAUUCUUUUCUUCUAGGUUUGGUAAGGUCUGGGAAGACUCGUUCACUUUUCCAAAAAAGGUCUGGGAAGAGUUGUAGACUUUGUUGGAUGAAAUAUGUGGAAACUUUUGGAAAUAAGAGGAAACUAUACUCAAAACUUUAUUCAUAUGAAAACUAUUUUAUCAAAUUUAGUUUGUUAAAUUCUGAUUAAGAUGAAUGGAUAAUUCAAAACAAUUACACUUAUUUUUUAUUUGUUCCUUUUAAAUGUUGUUACACACAAUAUAUUUAUAUAUUGAUUGCUGCACCAUUAUUAUGUGAUAAAAGUCUUUCCAUGUAUCAUUUGGCUGCCACAUCUAUAAAACCCUAAAACUUAAUACCACAUGCAAAUUAUGUAUAAACUUCAACAUCAAUGAUGUGUCAGCGGUGAUUAAAGCUUGCAAGGUGUUCCAUAAUUAUUAUGAAGAUUAAAAUAAAGGAGGAGCAUACUUGGGUCAAAACUAUCUGAUGGAAUACCCUCAUGAUAGCUCUUGCAGUUGCUAUUGGCUUGCAAGAAUGAAUGGGAGGACUGCCUUUGUUAUUGCAGUGGUUCAUCUUGAAUUGGCUUGAGUUUUCACUUUUUAUUUUAUUUUUCAAAUAUUAUUAAAACUAUUAUAGUUCAUGUAAAAUUAAAAUGUUUUAAUGUAUAAACUAUACUUUCAUAAGAUUUUCUCGUGCAUCGCACGGGUUAGCGACUA